rnacentral:rRNA from 1 species
GACGAACGCUGGCGGCGUGCUUAACACAUGCAAGUCGAACGGUAAGGCCCUUCGGGGUACACGAGUGGCGAACGGGUGAGUAACACGUGGGUGAUCUGCCCUGCACUUCGGGAUAAGCCUGGGAAACUGGGUCUAAUACCGGAUAGGACCACUGCCUGCAUGGGUGGGGGUGGAAAGCUUUUGCGGUGUGGGAUGGGCCCGCGGCCUAUCAGCUUGUUGGUGGGGUGAUGGCCUACCAAGGCGAGGACGGGUAGCCGGCCUGAGAGGGUGACCAGCCACAUUGUGACUAGGAUACGGCCCAGACUCCUACGGGAGGCAGCAGUGGGGAAUAUUGAACAAUGGGCGAAAGCCAGAUGCAGCGACGCCGCGUGAGGGAUGACGGCCUUCGGGUUGUAAACCUCUUUCAGCACCGACGAAGCGCAAGGGACGGUAGGUGCAGAAGAAGGACCGGCCAACUACGUGCCAGCAGCCGCCGUAA